rnacentral:rRNA from 1 species
UACGUAGGGUGCAAGCGUUGUUCGGAAUCAUUGGGCGUAAAGCGCGUGUAGGUGGUCUGCUAAGUCGAUUGUGAAAUCCCUGGGCUCAACCGAGGAAGUGCAGUCGAAACUAGUAGGCUAGAGGACAGCAGGGGAAGGUGGAAUUCCAAGUGUAGAGGUGAAAUUCGUAGAUAUUUGGAGGAAUACCGGCGGCGAAGGCGGCCUUCUGGACUGUUCCUGACACUGAGACGCGAAAGCGUGGGUAGCAAAC